AUUUCAUCAAAGGCUUUGAAGCUUUUGUGGUGGAGCAGGACCUGCAAGGAAAGAUGAUGGCAGCAUUUGUUGGGAAAAAAAGGUUUUAGGGAUUUUACUCAAAUAUAAAGAUCUGAAAUGUCUGCAGACUGGUGUGAGCACUGAGGAUGAGGAGCCCAGAGCUGAAUCCUGGAAGUGGUGCCAUGGAUGAGACCCUCCAUCUCUCCAUCUGCCCUUAUGAGACCCUCUAUCGCUCCAUCUGCCCUUAU